UACGUAGGUGGCAAGCGUUGUCCGGAUUUACUGGGCGUAAAGAGCGCGCAGGCGGUCGUUCAAGUCGCGUGUGAAAGCCCCCGGCUCAACUGGGGAGGGUCACGCGAUACUGAUCGACUGGAAGGCAGGAGAGGGUAGUGGAAUUCCCGGUGUAGUGGUGAAAUGCGUAGAUAUCAGGAGGAACACCGGUGGCGAAGGCGCUCAUCUGGCCCAAUACUGACGCUGAGGCGCGAAAGCUAGGGGAGCAAACGGG
rnacentral:rRNA from 1 species